CGGGGGGCAGCAGUAAGGAAUAUUGGACAAUGGACGCAAGUCUGAUCCAGCCAUGCCGCGUGAAGGAUUAAGGUCCUCUGGAUUGUAAACUUCUUUUAUAGGGGACGAAAAAAGGGCAUUCUUGCUCACUUGACGGUACUCUAUGAAUAAGCACCGGCUAACUCCGUGCCAGCAGCCGCGGUAAUACGGAGGGUGCAAGCGUUAUCCGGAUUCACUGGGUUUAAAGGGUGCGUAGGCGGGUAUGUAAGUCAGUGGUGAAAUCUCGAAGCUUAACUUCGAAACUGCCAUUGAUACUAUAUAUCUUGAAUAUUGUGGAGGUUUGCGGAAUAUGUCAUGUAGCGGUGAAAUGCUUAGAUAUGACAUAGAACACCUAUUGCGAAGGCAGCAGGCUACACAUAUAUUGACGCUGAGGCACGAAAGCGUGGGGAUCAAACAGGAUUAGAUACCCGAGU
rnacentral:rRNA from 1 species